GCCAGGCACAGUGGCGCAUGCCUGUAAUCUCAGCAACUCCGGAGGCUGAGGCAGGAGGAUCACAAGUUCAAAGCCAGCCUCAG
rnacentral:sRNA from 1 species